rnacentral:rRNA from 1 species
GGACGAACGCUGGCGGCACGCUUAACACAUGCAAGUCGAACGGAGUUAUUGGAGCUUGCUCUGAAUAACUUAGUGGCGGACGGGUGAGUAACACGUGAGCAACCUGCCUUUGAGAGUGGAAUAGCUUCUGGAAACGGAUGGUAAUACCGCAUAACAUUACCGGACCGCAUGAUCUGGUAAUCAAAGAUUUAUCGCUCAAAGAUGGGCUCGCGCCUGAUUAGAUAGUUGGUGGGGUAACGGCCUACCAAGUCGACGAUCAGUAGCCGGACUGAGAGGUUGGACGGCCACAUUGGGACUGAGACACGGCCCAGACUCCUACGGGAGGCAGCAGUGGGGAAUAUUGCACAAUGGGCGGAAGCCUGAUGCAGCGAUGCCGCGUGGAGGAAGAAGGUUUUCGGAUUGUAAACUCCUUAUCUGAGGGACGAUAAUGACGGUACCUCAGGAGAAAGCUCCGGCUAACUACGUGCCAGCCGCAGC